CUGAAGCGGGAAUAGCCCACCAUGCGAAUCUGCGCUUGCGCCGAAUUGUGGUCUGGAGACUCUCGCAUUACUGGUCGGGCCAAGUCCCUUGGAACAGGGCAGCAAAGAGGGUGAGACUCCCGUCCGCCUGGCCUCUAGAGCGAGUGUCGACGAGUCGAGUUGUUUGGGAUUGCAGCUCCAAGUUGGUGGUAAAUUCCAUCUAAGGCUAAAUAUUGGUGGGAGACCGAUAGCGAACAAGUACCGUGAGGGAAAGAUGCAAAGAACUUUGAAAAGAGAGUUAAAGAGUACCUGAAAUUGCUGAAAUGGAAGCGAAGGAAACUAGUGCCAGCUGCGUCAUACUUCCCCGCUCGCUUGCAGGCAGGGCGCUGUGGCCAGUGUUGCCAGGUUAGGUUGGAUAGAGCCGAAAAGCUCCGGCAAGACUCGAUCCGACCGAAUCUGACGAAAUGGUUUUCUUUUUCCCGUCUAGAAACACGGACCAAGGAGUCUAACAUAUGUGCGAGUACAGGGGUGGCAAACCCCGGUGCGCAAUGAAAGUGACAGUGGCUGGAUCUUUGCACAGUCCGCCGGCCAAGAUCCCUCGGGAGAACGGUCUGAGUGUGAGCAUACAUGUUGGGACCCGAAAGAUGGUGAACUAUGC
rnacentral:rRNA from 1 species